AAUUGGAGUAGAGAUCAAAUGUAUUGCAAUUGUCAACUGACUUGGAUGACUCAGCCAAUUCCCCAGCAGUCACCUCUGAGGUAAUUCUGUGCAAAAUUGCGGUCAAAGGGGCCGUGGCAUCAGUCAACGAUGUAGUUGGGCUUUGAAGAGAUGAUUUGCUGUAUUUGGUACGACGCCAAUGUAAAGAAAGUGG